rnacentral:rRNA from 1 species
UGGCGGCAGGCCUAACACAUGCAAGUCGAGCGGUAGCACAGAGAGCUUGCUCUCGGGUGACGAGCGGCGGACGGGUGAGUAAUGUCUGGGAAACUGCCUGAUGGAGGGGGAUAACUACUGGAAACGGUAGCUAAUACCGCAUAACGUCGCAAGACCAAAGUGGGGGACCUUCGGGCCUCAUGCCAUCAGAUGUGCCCAGAUGGGAUUAGCUAGUAGGUGGGGUAACGGCUCACCUAGGCGACGAUCCCUAGCUGGUCUGAGAGGAUGACCAGCCACACUGGAACUGAGACACGGUCCAGACUCCUACGGGAGGCAGCAGUGGGGAAUAUUGCACAAUGGGCGCAAGCCUGAUGCAGCCAUGCCGCGUGU